rnacentral:lncRNA from 1 species
AUGGCAAAUUGUGCCACCAGAAUCAUGUGUUUUUUCUUCCUCUUCUUGGGCUUUGUCGUCCAUAGUUCUGCCGAUAAUUGCUUCAUUGAUUGGAGCUCUAAAAAUCCCGGCGACUGGACUACCAGGGCUCUCUGUCAUCCCCCCCAAGACCUGGGUGAGAUGAUCAAAAGAUUUAUUUAGGCCUGUGAUUAAUCUUAUUCACGUAGUUUUGACUGUCUGAUAUAUUAAAUCCUCUACUGUAUUAAUUCGUGAAAUUCGCUAAUUCUUGGGUACCAAUUUGUUUGGACUCCUACAGUUAUCAAGUGUGGAACAACCAUUUCUUCGGUUUCGAAUGUUGACUUGAGUGACUACAACGAUUGUCCAGUACGCCCUAAUCCAGAGACUACAACAACGAAAUCGGUAGAAGACGGCCAGGUCGUCUUCAGUGGUCUUCCAGUGGGUGCACGUUCGUAUUUCAUUCCUGCAGAUAUCGACCAAUAUUGGUGUUCAC